UACGGAGGGUGCGAGCGUUGUCCGGAAUUAUUGGGCGUAAAGCGCGCGCAGGCGGUCCUUUAAGUCUGAUGUGAAAGCCCACGGCUCAACCGUGGAGGGUCAUUGGAAACUGGGGGACUUGAGUACAGAAGAGGAAAGCGGAAUUCCACGUGUAGCGGUGAAAUGCGUAGAGAUGUGGAGGAACACCAGUGGCGAAGGCGGCUUUCUGGUCUGUAACUGACGCUGAGGCGCGAAAGCGUGGGGAGCAAACAGG
rnacentral:rRNA from 1 species